UACGAAGGGGGCUAGCGUUGUUCGGAAUCACUGGGCGUAAAGGGCGCGUAGGCGGCUUUAUAAGUCGGGGGUGAAAGCCUGUGGCUCAACCACAGAAUUGCCUUCGAUACUGUUUGGCUUGAGACCGGAAGAGGUAAGUGGAACUGCGAGUGUAGAGGUGAAAUUCGUAGAUAUUCGCAAGAACACCAGUGGCGAAGGCGGCUUACUGGUCCGGUUCUGACGCUGAGGCGCGAAAGCGUGGGGAGCAAACAGG
rnacentral:rRNA from 1 species